GUUCUUUUUGGGUUCAUAACUAUGAUGACUGGUGUUCACACUAUUAUGAUGUGUGUGUCCCUCAAUCCUGUUACAAUUCUGACAUAUUACCACACUGAUA
rfam:Mus musculus chromosome 17, GRC primary reference assembly.